UGGUAUGUCUGGCCCGGGGCUCAGAGUCUGUCAAGUGAGGAGACUUAUUUUUAUCUUACUGUCAGAGGCUGGCACAGAUGUGGACGGCUUUCUAGAUUGAGUUUCCAGGAGCCUGCCAUUCUAUUAUCCUCUGAAAACCAUGAAUUACUGUCCACACCCUUCCCGUGUGGACCUGUGCGGUCCGUCUUUCCAACUUGUGGAGUGUUGAGCUCUGGAGCGAGUCCUCGCCACACGCAGGUCUUGCUCACACUUCCCAACACCCGGCAAGGCAGGGCUACAUCUUCAGUUUUUAUUUUAGGAAGCAGGGACUAAGAGAGAUUGAGAUACUUUAGAGGGUCACAGAGCUCUGAGUCAGGACCUCUGAGCCUACCUGUCACCUCCUGCACUGCACUGGUCUCCAGCAGGGUCAAUCUGUCCCCCUGCAGCUGGAUGGGAAGGUGGGGGCUGGUGAGUGGGGGGUGUGGAGCUGGCUGGGCAGACCCUCCCCUACCUUCCAGCUGUGAGCCUGUGGUUGCAACUGGUCUCCAGCAGGGUCAAUCUGUCCCCCUGAAGCUGGAGGGGAAGGUGGGGGUUGGUGGGUGGAGGAUGUGGAGUCAGCUGGGCAGACCCUCCCCUACCUCCCAGCUGUGAGCCUGUGGUUGCAGGCUGUGGCCUCCUACCUGUGUGGCCAGGUCACUUGCUGCCCUCACAGCCUCUCCACACAGACGCCAAAGGUCUCCUUUCCUCCUGGGCUCUGCCCUGACAUUACUUCAUUGGUCUUACCCAAGACCCGUCCUGCCUGAGCCCCAUUCUCUCCCUUUCCCAGGAUGGCAGCUGAAUGGCUGGAUGGGAUCUGAAGUCUCCCUUUCCCAGGAUGGCAGCUGAAUGGCUGGAUGGGAUCCCGUCUGGCGGUUACCAAGCAUGGUCCCUGCCUCCUGCUUCUCCAUCAGGAACACGGUGGUGGUCUUCCCAGUGGGGCCCGCAGGAGUGUGCACGGAUGUCCACAGCUGCUGUAAUGUUUGCCUCUGAAGCCAGAGUACGCAUCGUGGGGUGCUAUCGCUGUGCGCCUCUGCAGAGCCCAACAGUUCAGACUUCAAAACUUCAGGGCCGUGGCCUGGGAUUCAGGCGGAAGAGACAGAGUAUUUGAUAAUUCAUCCAGUUACACUGCCCUUCUGUAGCGAGCUGCCGAACUGGACCCUGGAGGACAUUUGCACAGAUGCUCAUGUAGGUAAAUUUGAUUGGUUCAUGAAUUAUUUCUAUACUGUGAAUUUUUCAAAGCAAAGGUGGAAGCUGAUAGUUCUUUACUUAGUGCUAAACGUUCAACCUUUAGCUUCUGUGUGGGCUAAAUACGGUGAUUACCCAAAUGGGAAGAACAUGCACGCCAGAGCCAUGUUGGCACGGAUUCAAAACGUGACCCAGAAUUUGGCAGAGGUGUUUGUGGGCGAGGCACCAGCAUCUCUGGUGCUCUCUCUGAAGGGAGCAUGGUGAAUCCUACAUGGAGUCCUGAGGAUGGAAGCUGAUCAGCCACAGAGUGUUGGAGAGGAUGCUGGACAUGCUACAAGCGUCCAGUCAGGGCCCAGCCUGCGUGGGACCAGUUGGGCUUUAAGGACUGAGGAGGGGUCUCUAUAGACGCAUCCAGGGGGUUCUGGUUCCAUCCAAUGCCCCAGCCAAGGCCAGGGUCCUCCCACGUCCCUCCAUCAAUUCCUGACUGGGGGCGUUUUUUUGCCUGGCCUGGCUUCCCUCUUCAGGCAGUGGCAGGGCCUGUCUCCCUGUUCAUGCUCCUUUUCUUUUUUAGUGGGUGAAUAACCUAUAGAUGAAGACUAGCUUCCUGUGUGGCCGAUCUGGACAGAUACCUGAUUAGAUGUGCUUUCACCACAAGGAAAUGCAGCUAAGAUCCUCAUCGUGGAAAUGCAGUUUCCUUUUAUUUGAGACUGCCUGCUGAAGGUUGGAUGGGACCAGGGCUGACGGAAGACAAAAGGCAUCUUUGGUAUCAUUUGAGGGUUAAUACAAAUCACUUCCUUCUUUACAAAAAAGGGUAAUUACAAGCACUGGUAGAUUAACUGUAUUAGACCCUGAUUGUAUGCAGGGGCCAUUUAUUACAGGCAACGUUUAUUCCACACUUCCUGGUGCCUCUUCGGCAUCCCACACUGGUGAUUUCACAGUGGAAGCUUCCAUUCUGGGUUUCUGUUGUGGGAGGUGUGUGGCCUCUGGCACCGGUACAGCCCCUGGGCAUGUCUAGAUCUGCCAGGAGUGGUGGUAGAAAGGUGCCAGCCGGGGCUUCAGGGCCCAGACGCUUCUCCUCCCAUCUGGAUGGACACUCGGGGUUCCAGUUACACACGGGCAGAAUCAGCACCUUGGGAAUUUGAGCCAUCUGCAAGCAGAUCCCUUUACAUUCAAGGGAAGGCUUGUGUCUGACAAAUGAAAAUGGGACACUUUCCAGCUUUCCACGUUGUAAGCUAAACCACUUGCCCCUGCAUCAGCAUGUCUGGAAGUGGGCUCCUCAGAUGCCGGAGAUCUGCAGACGUGCUCUUGGGGUCUGGUUCUCUGUACUCCAUGUUACCUGGGCUGCCUUGUGAAUGAGCCCUAUCUGUGGUUUCACAUGUGGGUGUAUGCAGAGCUCUUCCCAAGGAGUGGGCGGGCACUUCUUCAUAUGUGGGUCUCCAGCUGUCCCUCUGGUCUGCUGCUCCAGACUUCAGGCUGGAAUCACACAAAUGCCACUCCGUUUCACUAAACCCCACUCUGGUCUCAGGCCUUGCAGUCAGCCGCUCUGCGCUGGCCUCUAGCUCUCUCUAAUUUGGAAUGCUGUCACUGGCCCCAGAUGCUGCUCCUCUCAUGGCUCGCUGGCUCACCUGUUCCACAGCAGCUGCCUGUGGACUCCUCCAGGUGCAGGGGACAGGGCCAGUAUUGCAUAAAAGUUUAAAAAGUCACCACAGCAGAGGGACAUCAUGUCUGGUUGCCAAACUUGUUUUUUUCUGACUUUUCAUUGUAAAACAAAACACAGAUAUGGAAAACCACACAAAACACGCACACAGCUGAAAUGGGUUAUGAUAAAGCAGCCCUCCCCCACCUCCCUGCAACUACCACCAAGUUGAGGAAUGGACCUUUGCAGACUCUCCAGAAACCACAUGUUCCUCAUCCCUGUCAGUCUCGCCAGCCCCUGCCUCAAAUUAACAUCACCACGAAUUCAACAUCUUGGUCCUUGCCCUUCUUGUGGUCUGUCAGUCACGUGCAUGCCUAGAAUCUAGAGUUUCCUCUUGCCCAUUUUCUUUUUAAUCUGAGGUCUUUAAAUCCCUUUCAUUCUACAAGUUCUCCUUCUACUCUUUUCUUUCCCAUACAACUUACCUGUUGUAGAAUUCACGGUUUUUGCCCAUAGAAUGUCCCAGUCUGGCUUUUGCCAAGUGCAAAGUUAUGGGGCAAUACAACACCAUCUUCUGUGCUCUCAACCUGCACAUUGGUUCCUGCAUCCAGAGCCCGAUCCUAAGGAUCUCUUUCUUAAGAUUACAGUCGGCAUUUUGUUUCUUUAUUGGGAGGCAUAUAACACUUGAUUGCUUCUCUCUGCGAUGCCAGCUGCUGUGGAUGCUGCUAGAGUCAUGAAUCCAUCAUGGGUUACACAAUGGUUAGCCUGAUGGCACCAUGGUUUCUGUUCUUGAACAGCAAUGCUGUGAUAAAGACAUGCCUCCCCUUAUCUAUGACUUGCUUCCCCUGAGGAACAGCUCACAGACAGACGAGGCUAAAUGCUUGAUUCUCUUCAUCUGUUUUCAAGAUAAUGAACUGGGACACUGUCGUUCCAUGAAUAUAAUAUUCUCUGAAUUUUCUUAUUAAUUUGUGGAUUAGACUUAUUUAAUAAGUUUCAAUCAGUUGAAAUUAACAUCCUUCCUGAAACUGAGAUUGUCCCAUCUCCCCUAAUAGGAGCCUUUUCAAGUUGGACUUGAGCCCUGGUAACACAGCCAUGGCCACCUUGACCUCUCCGCCCUCUGGUGCUGCCCAGGCCCAGAUCAUAUUCCACUCCCCCAGUACCUGGGAGCAGUCAUUUCCCCGAGAAACCCCACUUAUCCCGUGGCAAAGGUGUUUCCCAACUGUCCCAGGAGCACUGCGAGUGCUCACUAUAGAUGGCAGAGCUGGGAAAGGCCUUAGGAGUUUGAGCCAUUUCUUCCAAUUCAAAUUCAGGAUGAAAGAGUUUGAUUUAAUCUCCUCUUAUUUAACAUCUGUGUCUCCUUUGUUCAACACCAAAAGUUCUAGCAGCACUCAAGGAUGAUAGAAUCAGGAUAUCUCACAGAACUGCGCAUUUCUUCUAUUGCACAUUAUACACACAAUUGUUUCAGAAUAAAAAUAUUAUAUGUGUGUAUAUAUUAUAUAUCAGUAAUAAUGUUAUCACCACUGAUAUCAUGGCUAAAAAUAAUAUUUUUCUGUGUGUGUUUUCUGUUUCCACUUCCAUUUUAAAAUAGAAGUAUUGUGUCUACAUGGUCAAUUCAUAUAGCCAUUAUAUACAAUUUUUUCUCCCUUUUAGCCCUCAUUUUCCUAGUUCUACAGGUAACUAUAUAAAUGCUUAUCACUAGUCUUUAAUGAAAAUCUUUGUUGCCAUUUUUGGUUGAAGUUCAUUCUCUAGGAUGAGCUCUCUCUUAGCAUAGGCGCAUGGGAACAAUAUUUCUGAAUUCUUGAAUGCUGAUAACACUUCCUCUCUUUGAUACUUGAAAGUCAGUUUUGCUGGGUAUAAGAUUCUUGGUUCACAUUUUUUCCUUAAUAAAACUUAAUAGAUAUAAGAUUUUAGCUUUUUUCAGGCAUAAAGCUUUGCUGUAAAAGCAUGAUGAUACUCUAUUUUUGUAUUCCUUACAAUAUCUUGCUUUUCAACCUAGAUGCCAAAAAUGUUUUUUUUUAAUUUUUCUGUAAAAGUUUAGUAUUUUAAUGCGUAUAUCUUGGUGUUGGUUAUUCUGGAUCUAUAUUCUCAGGUAGCUGGCAUGUACUUUCAAUAUGGCCAUUUUAAAUCUCUCUUAAAGUAAGGAAAGUUGUUGUGAAAGACAGUUUUUAUACUGACUUUGUUUCCUGCUUUGAUUUUCUCCUGCAGGGUCCAUUUGUACAUGCCACCUUCUGUGCCUGCCUUUCAUAUUUGUCCUUUUGUAUUUCUUGAGUCCCCUUCUUUCUUACUUUCUUCCUUUUUUAUUUUAAAAAGCCUUUCUUUGUUACCUUCUAUUUUUCUUAAGGUAUUGUCUCUUGUGUUUCCUCCAUUCAUGUCUCUGAUAGCUUAGUUUUCAUUUCUGAAGUGAUUUUUAGCAUUUUUUAUUCUUCCUGUUUUAUCGUCUCAUUUCUGAAUUCUUUUAAAUGAUGAUUUUUGUUUUUAUUGCAUGUUUUAUAGAAUCUGUAAUCUCAUUUUGAACUACUACUAAGCUGUUUCCACCCAUUGUCUGAGCUGCAUCUCUGCCAUGCUUUAAUUGUCCAUAUAGAUAUUAUUCUGUGCCAUAUUAUCCAUUUUCUUAUAAAUACUGUUAGUGAAAAUUUGUCAUGUCUCAUUUUUUAAAUCAAUAUUUUGAACUAUUAAAAGCACGUAGCAUAAAAUUUACCAUUGUAACCAUUUUUUUUUUUUUUUUGAGAUGGAGUCUCGCUCUGUUGCCCAGGCUAGAGUGCAGUGGUGCGAUCUCAGGUCACUGCAAGCUCCGCCUCCUGGGUUCACGCCA
rnacentral:lncRNA from 10 species